UUUUAAAUCUUAUUUGUUUGUAAUUUAAAAGUAUUUAUUAGGUUGAGUAAGUUGUAUUGAAUGAUUUUGGAUGAUUAUAUUUUAUUAGUACUGUGAAGGAAGGAUGAAAUAUGGUAAAUAUUUAUUAGGAUAUUAGAAAAGAUUAAAUCUUGUACCUUUUGUAUCAGGGGUGAAUAAUUGAAAUUAUUUAUUUAUUUUUCCCGAAGGAAAGAGAGUUAAUAUGAAAUUGAAAUUGAUGUAGUAAAAUCAAGUUUUAUUUUGUGUUGGAGGUGAAAUGUCAAGCGAUCUUUUUGAUAUCUGGUUCUUUGAGAAAUGAAUUUAGUUCAGCUUUUGAAAAUAAAAGUUAUUUUUUUUUAUUUUUUUAUUUUCAGGAAGUGAGUAUCUAGGGGAUAAUCUCUAGA
rnacentral:rRNA from 1 species